rnacentral:lncRNA from 1 species
ACAGUCUGGUAGUAGAAAUGAAGGAUUUACAGCUUCAAACCACAAUUCCACUGGGCCCAAGAGGCUGGACUUCAGGGAAGAUUCUAGGUAUCUUUCAUGUGAAGAGACUAAGCCUGGGAGAGGGAGUUGGGGCCCAUCUGUGAAGACUUGUGGCUCUUGGUCAUUCAUUGAGAGCUACUGGAUCAUCUGAUUGAUGGAAGGACCACCAGCAUUACUAAAAUGAAAAGUGACAAGGCAUCCUCAGAGACUGUGCUCCAUACCAGUUGUUCCUGAAAAAAACUCUUUGGCUGAGUGCUCACCACAUAGCUGAGAAGAGAACAGGAAACAGAAGUGGGGCCUGAUACAGAACUGCAACUCCUAUUAAUGGCCGUGAAGUGCCCAGGAUGUCAUAAAAUCAACCCAGUCUUCAGCCAUAAACAAAGGGCAGUCUCGUGUGCUGGCUGCUGUACUGCCCUGUCAGCCUACAGAAGAAAAAGCAAGGCUGUCUGCGCCUGCAGGACACAGCACUCAAAGCACCUUGGUUGAAGAUGAGUGGGGAAUUAUCCCAAUAAAUACAUCAUGAAUUUAAAAAGAACAGCAUUGCUUCAAAUGAGAUAAAUUUUAAAUAUAUAUUUUGGUAAAAAAAAAAAAA